AAGAGUUCGAGCUGUUGAGAAGGCAUUGGUCGAAAUGCAGCAGCUUUUGGGGCAGGAAAAUGUUAACAUGCAAAUGAAGCUACAGGCUGCAACGCAACAGAUUGAGGAGUUAAAGUCAAAGAGCAGCCUCCGUAAAAGAAACUCAACACCUAAAUCUGAAAUAUUUGAGGCAGAAAGCGGAAUUUUGACCAAGGAUAUCAUGUCAAUGCAACAGAUUGAGGAGUUAAAGUCAAAGAGCAGCCUCCGUAAAAGAAACUCAGCACCUGAAUCUGAAAUAUUUGAGGCAGAAAGUGGAAUUUUGACCAAGGAUAUCAUGCUUGACCACGUAUCCGAGUGUUCAUCCAACAGAAUUGGCAGGAGAGAGGAACAGGCUGAGACUAAUAAUCUAGUUUUUGACCUAU
rnacentral:lncRNA from 1 species